rnacentral:rRNA from 1 species
GACGAACGCUGGCGGCGUGCUUAACACAUGCAAGUCGAACGGAAAGGCACUGCUUUUGUGGGGUGCUCGAGUGGCGAACGGGUGAGUAACACGUGAGUAACCUGCCCUUGACUUUGGGAUAACUUCAGGAAACUGGGGCUAAUACCGGAUAGGAGCUCCUGCUGCAUGGUGGGGGUUGGAAAGUUUCGGCGGUUGGGGAUGGACUCGCGGCUUAUCAGCUUGUUGGUUGGGUAGUGGCUUACCAAGGCUUUGACGGGUAGCCGGCCUGAGAGGGUGACCGGCCACCUUGGGACUGAGGUACGGCCCAGACUCCAACGGGAGGCAGCAGUGGGGAAUAUUGCACAAUGGGCGGAAGUCUGAUGCAGCAACGCCGCGUGCGGGAUGACGGCCUUCGGGUUGUAAACCGCUUUCGCCUGUGACGAAGCGGGAGUGACGGUAAUGAGUAAAGAAGCACCGGCUAACUACGUG